rnacentral:rRNA from 1 species
AUACGGAGGAUGCGAGCGUUAUCCGGAUUUAUUGGGUUUAAAGGGUGCGUAGGCGGGCUGUUAAGCGUGAGGUGAAAGCUCGGGGCUCAACCCCGGAACUGCCUCGCGAACUGGCGGUCUUGAAUGUCCGUGCCGUGGGAGGAAUGUGUGGUGUAGCGGUGAAAUGCAUAGAGAUCACACAGAACACCGAUUGCGAAGGCAUCUCACGAACGGAUGAUUGACGCUGAGGCACGAAAGCGUGGGGAUCGAACAGGAUUAGAUACCCUGGUAGUCCACGCUGUAAACGAUGGACACUCGUUGUCGGCGACAGACAGUCGGCGGCCAAGCGAAAGUGAUAAGUGUCCCACCUGGGGAGUACGGUCGCAAGGCUGAAACUCAAAUGAAUUGGCGGGG